rnacentral:lncRNA from 1 species
GUCGGAAGGGGCGGAGUCGGCCCCGGGAAUGUCGGGAAUUCUGGGAAUUCUGGGAAUGUUGGGAAUUCCGGGAAUGUCAGGAAUGAAUUCUGGGAAUGUUGGGAAUGAAUUCUGGGAAUUCAAGGAAUGUUGGGAAUGUCGGGAAUGUCAGGAAUUCCAGGAAUUCCGGGAAUGCCGGGAAUGUUGGGAAUGAAUUCUGGGAAUCCCGGGAAUGUUGGGAAUUCUGGGAAUGUCAGGAAGGAAUUCUGGGAAUGUUGGGAAUUCUGGGAAUUCCGGGAAUCCCGGGAAUGUCGGGAAUGAAUCCCGGGAAUGUUGGGAAUGCUGGGAACGUUGGGAAUGUUGGGAAUGUUGGGAAGGAAUCCUGGGAAUGUCAGGAAUUCUGGGAAUCCCGGGAAUAUCGGGAAUGAAUUCUGGGAAUGUUGGGAAUCCCGGGAAUGUUGGGAAUGUUGGGAAUGAAUCCCGGGAAUGUCAGGAAUUCUGGGAAUGUCAGGAAUUCUGGGAAUCCCGGGAAUAUCGGGAAUAUCGGGAAUUCCGGGAAUUCCGGGAAUCCCGGGAAUGUCGGGAAUGAAUCCCAGGAAUUCUGGGAAUGUCGGGAAUGCCGGGAAUGAAUCCCAGGAAUUCUGGGAAUAUCGGGAAUAUCGGGAAUUCCGGGAAUGUCGGGAAUGUUGGGAAUGAAUCCCGGGAAUUCUGGGAAUGCUGGGAAUGAAUCCCAGGAAUUCUGGGAAUUUUGGGAAUGUCAGGAAUGAAUCCCGGGAAUGUUGGGAAUUCUGGGAAUGUUGGAAAUUUCGGGAAUCCCGGGAAUGUUGGGAAUGAAUCCCAGGAAUGUCGGGAAUGUUGGGAAUAUCGGGAAUUCCGGGAAUGCCGGGAAUGUCGGGAAUGAAUCCCAGGAAUUCUGGGAAUGUCGGGAAUUCCGGGAAUCCCGGGAAUGCCGGGAAGGAAUUCCGGGAAUUCUGGGAAUGUCAGGAAGGAAUUCUGGGAAUGUUGGGAAUUCUGGGAAUUCUGGGAAUCCCGGGAAUCGCGGCCUCACCGCCGAUGAGGGAGGAGCCGCAGCCCUCAACGUCCAUGGCCCCGGAAUUCCCUGGAAAAGGAGAAAAUUCCAUGGGAAAAUCGGGAAUGGGAAAA